AUUGAACGCUGGCGGCAUGCCUAACACAUGCAAGUCGAGCGGAUGAAGGGAGCUUGCUCCUGGAUUCAGCGGCGGACGGGUGAGUAAUGCCUAGGAAUCUGCCUGGUAGUGGGGGAUAACGUCCGGAAACGGGCGCUAAUACCGCAUACGUCCUGAGGGAGAAAGUGGGGGAUCUUCGGACCUCACGCUAUCGGAUGAGCCUAGGUCGGAUUAGCUAGUUGGUGGGGUAAAGGCCUACCAAGGCGACGAUCCGUAACUGGUCUGAGAGGAUGAUCAGUCACACUGGAACUGAGACACGGUCCAGACUCCUACGGGAGGCAGCAGUGGGGAAUAUUGGACAAUGGGCGAAAGCCUGAUCCAGCAAUGCCGCGUGUGUGAAGAAGGUCUUCGGAUUGUAAAGCACUUUAAGUUGGGAGGAAGGGCAGUAAGUUAAUACCUGGCUGUUUUGACGUUACCAACAGAAUAAGCACCGGCUAACUUCGUG
rnacentral:rRNA from 1 species